GACGAACGCUGGCGGCGUGCUUAACACAUGCAAGUCGAACGGAAAGGCCUCUUUCGGGGGGUACUCGAGUGGCGAACGGGUGAGUAACACGUGAGUAACCUGCCCUUGACUUUGGGAUAACUUCAGGCAACUGGGGCUAAUACCGGCUAGGAGCUCCUGCUGACUGGAGGGGGUUGGAAAGUUUCGGCGGUUUGGGGUGGACUCGCGGCUUAUCCGCUUGUUGGUGGGGUAGUGGCUUACCAAGGCCUUGCCGGGUAGCCGGCCAGAGGGGGUGACCGGCGACAUUGGGACUGAGAUACGGCCCAGGCUCCUACGGGAGGGAGCAGUGGGGAAGAUUGCACGAUGGGUGGAAGCCUGAUGCAGCAACGCCGUGGGCGGGAUGACGGUCUUCGGGUUGUAAACCGCUUUCGCUCAUGACGAAGCUUUGUGUGACGGUAGUGGGUAAAGAAGCACCGGCUAACUACGUG
rnacentral:rRNA from 1 species